GGCGUGGGAAGGAAUAAGAGAAGCCUAGGGAGCCCAGCUGUGCUGUGGGCUCAGGAGGCAGAGCUCUGGGUGUCUCACCAUGGCCUGGAUUCCUCUCCUACUCCCCCUCCUCACUUUCUGCACAGGCCCUGCAGCCUCCUAUGAGCUGACACAGCCACCCUCGGUGUCAGUGUCCCCAGGACAGACGGCCAGGAUCACCUGCUCUGGAGAUGCAUUGCCAGAAAAAUAUGCUUAUUGGUACCAGCAGAAGCCAGGCCAGUCCCCUGUGCUGAUCAUCUAUGAGGACAGCAAACGGCCCUCUGGGAUCCCUGAGAGAUUCUCUGGCUCCAGCUCAGGGACAGUGGCCACCUUGACUAUCAGUGGGGCCCAGGUGGAGGAUGAAGCUGACUACUACUGUUACUCAGCAGAUAGCAGUGGCUAUUGUGGGUUAUUCGGAGGAGGGACCCGGCUGACCGUCCUAGGUCAGCCCAAGGCUGCCCCCUCGGUCACUCUCUUCCCGCCCUCCUCUGAGGAGCUGCAAGCCAACAAGGCCACACUAGUGUGUCUGAUCAGUGACUUCUACCCGGGAGCCGUGGAAGUGGCCUGGAAGGCAGAUGGCAGCGCUGUCAACGCGGGAGUGGAGACCACCAAACCCUCCAAACAGAGCAACAACAAGUACGCGGCCAGCAGCUACCUGAGCCUGACGUCCGACCAGUGGAAGUCCCACAAGAGCUACAGCUGCCAGGUCACGCACGAAGGGAGCACCGUGGAGAAGACAGUGGCCCCUGCAGAAUGUUCAUAGGUUCCCAACCCUCACCCCACCCACGGGGGCCUGGAGCUGCAGGAUCCCAGGUGAGGGGUCUCUCCUCCCACCCCAAGGCAUCCACAGCCCUUCUCCCUGCACUCAAUAAACCCUCAAUAAAUAUUCUCAUUGACAAUCAGAAA